CAGCCUUGAGGCAAGAUCUGGUCCCAUCUGUCCUUCCUGAUGCAUGUAUCUACUUCUUCAACCAUGCCUUGGUUACAGCCAAGGAAGAUUCCACAGGAGUGAAGAGGCAAUGUUACUCCCUAGCACAGCUGCAGUCAUCCACAUAUCGAACACAGUGAGGAUCAAACUCUGCAUGUCUGUCUUCAGUUGGCGAUCCUCUCAGGUUUGACUGGUGGAUUCAGAGAGUGGGAUUCGGCCCCUGGUCAAAAUACUGAUUUGGCAAUGACAACCCAGCCUUAU